GGAAAGGCGCGCGAUACAGGGUGACAGCCCCGUACACAAAAAUGCACAUGCUGUGAGCUCGAUGAGUAGGGCGGGACACGUGGUAUCCUGUCUGAAUAUGGGGGGACCAUCCUCCAAGGCUAAAUACUCCUGACUGACCGAUAGUGAACCAGUACCGUGAGGGAAAGGCGAAAAGAACCCCGGCGAGGGGAGUGAAAAAGAACCUGAAACCGUG
rnacentral:rRNA from 1 species